rnacentral:lncRNA from 1 species
AUUAAAUAUAAUGUUUAAAAGGUGAACUGUUAAAAGCAAGGAUUACAUAGUGUUUAUCUUCUGAAGGGGUGCUCAUAAUUUUCUUUUUUUUACAGUCCAGAGGUCUUCUAUUUUAUUUUUUUUUAACACCAAUUAUGCCAUGAAUCAAUCCAUAGGGAAGAGGUUCCAGCAGCUCAAGCUCCUUCCCAUUUGUUCUCACACAGUGCGCUUCUCUGGGCAGAGCAGACUGGCGCUUCCGUUGAACCCAGAUUCACAUAUACGUGACCAAAGGAAUAACUCCAUGCUUCCUAAAAGGCCUAGAAGACAUCUACCAGGAGCCUCCCCUCUUUCCCUUUGUGUUUGUCAUUUUGUCGAAUUACUGGAAGACGGUGGUUCUGGCCAAAAGGGCCAUAAUAAAUUUUUAUUUUCUUG